rnacentral:rRNA from 1 species
GACGAACGCUCGCGGCGUGCUUAACACAUGCAAGUCGAACGAAGCUUGAUUACGGAUUCUUCGGAUGAAGUAUGAUAUGACUGAGUGGCGGACGGGUGAGUAACGCGUGAGUAACCUGCCCUUCAGAGGGGGAUAGCGUUUGGAAACGAACGGUAAUACCGCAUAAUGUAUUUUGACCGCAUGAUCGAAAUACCAAAGAUUUAUCGCUGAAGGAUGGACUCGCGUCUGAUUAGGUAGUUGGUGGGGUAACGGCCUACCAAGCCGACGAUCAGUAGCCGGACUGAGAGGUUGAUCGGCCACAUUGGGACUGAGACACGGCCCAGACUCCUACGGGAGGCAGCAGUGGGGAAUAUUGCACAAUGGGCGCAAGCCUGAUGCAGCAACGCCGCGUGAAGGAAGACGGUUUUCGGAUUGUAAACUUCUGUUCUUAGUGAAGAAUAAUGACGGUAGCUAAGGAGCAAGCCACGGCUAACUACGUG